GGGGCUGCCGGUGCGGAGC
rnacentral:misc_RNA from 1 species